ACUCCUACGGGAGGCAGCAGUGGGGAAUAUUGGACAAUGGGCGCAAGCCUGAUCCAGCAAUGCCGCGUGAGUGAUGAAGGCCGUUAGGGUUGUAAAGCUCUUUUACCAGGGAUGAUAAUGACAGUACCUGGAGAAUAAGCUCCGGCUAACUCCGUGCCAGCAGCCGCGGUAAUACGGAGGGAGCUAGCGUUGUUCGGAAUUACUGGGCGUAAAGCGCGCGUAGGCGGUUACUCAAGUCAGAGGUGAAAGCCCGGGGCUCAACCCCGGAACUGCCUUUGAAACUAGGUGACUAGAAUCUUGGAGAGGUCAGUGGAAUUCCGAGUGUAGAGGUGAAAUUCGUAGAUAUUCGGAAGAACACCAGUGGCGAAGGCGACUGACUGGACAAGUAUUGACGCUGAGGUGCGAAAGGCUGGGGAGCAAACAGGAUUAGAUACCCUGGUAGGAUAGCG
rnacentral:rRNA from 1 species